GCCUGGGUGGCUCAGUCAGUUGGGCGGCUGACUUUGGCUCAGGUCAUGAUCUCACAGCUCAUGAGUUCAAGCCCCACCUCGGGCU
rfam:Felis catus isolate Cinnamon breed Abyssinian chromosome C2, whole genome shotgun sequence.